rnacentral:rRNA from 1 species
AACGAACGCUGGCGGCAUGCCUAACACAUGCAAGUCGAACGAGAUCUUCGGGUCUAGUGGCGCACGGGUGCGUAACGCGUGGGAAUCUGCCCUUUGGUUCGGAAUAGCAGUUGGAAACGACCGCUAAUACCGGAUGAUGACGAAAGUCCAAAGAUUUAUCGCCAGAGGAUGAGCCCGCGUAGGAUUAGCUAGUUGGUGUGGUAAAGGCGCACCAAGGCGACGAUCCUUAGCUGGUCUGAGAGGAUGAUCAGCCACACUGGGACUGAGACACGGCCCAGACUCCUACGGGAGGCAGCAGUGGUGAAUAUUGGACAAUGGGCGAAAGCCUGAUCCAGCAAUGCCGCGUGAGUGAUGAAGGCCUUAGGGUUGUAAAGCUCUUUUACCCGGGAUGAUAAUGACAGUACCGGGAGAAUAAGCUCCGGCUAACUCCGUGCCAGCCGCCGCCGUAA